AACACAUCUCCCUGUACUGGUUGAGCUACACUUUCUCGUCCUAUGUCCGCUAUCGGCAUAUCUUCCUGCUCAAACUUUCCUUGUCAUUGAUGAUAUCUCCAUCAUCUUGGAUGAUCAUGACACGCUGAUUGGGACACUUGGAUAUGAUAUGCCCCACUCCUAAGCACUUGAAACACUUAAUGGAGGAGAAAAACCUCCUCCAUCAACGGCAGCACCACCAACG
rnacentral:lncRNA from 1 species